AUUGAACGCUGGCGGCAGGCCUAACACAUGCAAGUCGAACGAGCGGCGGACGGGUGAGUAAUGUCUGGGAAACUGCCUGAUGGUGGGGGAUAACUACUGGAAACGGUAGCUAAUACCGCAUACCAUCGGAUGUGCCCAGGUGGGAUUAGCUAGUUGGUGGGGUAACGGCUUACCAAGGCGACGAUCCGUAACUGGUCUGAGAGGAUGACCAGUCACACGUGAACUGAGACACGGUCCAGACUCCUCCGGGAGGCAGCAGUGGGGAAUUUUGCACAAUGGGCGCAAGCCUGAUGCAGCCAUGCCGCGUGUAUGAAGAAGGCCUUCGGGUUGUAAAGUACUUUCAGCGGGGAGGCGUUACUCGCAGAAGAAGCACCGGCUAACUCCGUGCCAGCCGCCGCGGUAAUUC
rnacentral:rRNA from 1 species